CCUACGGGAGGCAGCAGUGAGGAAUAUUGGUCAAUGGGCGCGAGCCUGAACCAGCCAAGUCGCGUGAGGGAAGACGGUCCUAUGGAUUGUAAACCUCUUUUGUCGGGGAGCAAAAGACGCCACGCGUGGCGUUCCGAGAGUACCCGAAGAAAAAGCAUCGGCUAACUCCGUGCCAGCCGCCGCGGUAAUACGGGGGAUGCGAGCGUUAUCCGGAUUUAUUGGGUUUAAAGGGUGCGCAGGCGGAAGAUCAAGUCAGCGGUAAAAUUGGGAGGCUCAACCUCUUCGAGCCGUUGAAACUGGUUUUCUUGAGUGAGUGUGAGGUAUGCGGAAUGCGUGGUGUAGCGGUGAAAUGCAUAGAUAUCACGCAGAACUCCGAUUGCGAAGGCAGCAUACCGGCGCUCAACUGACGCUCAUGCACGAAAGUGUGGGUAUCGAACAGGAUUAGAUACCCGAGUAGUC
rnacentral:rRNA from 1 species